rnacentral:sRNA from 1 species
GUAUACAUGUUAUUGUCGGGCAGGCUAGUGCUAGUGUGCUACCCAUCAAAUAGAAUGUAGUCGAAUACAAAUGGCUGGACUGUGAUAUUGUCCGCCUGCCUGUACUCAUGUAAUUUCAGCUGCUAGGCCAUCUGGGCACCUGUGUUACUUCUCAUGCUGUUUCAGGUUGAGAGGUAAGCUUCUCCAAAUUCACAGAAAUAUCAAGGCGCAGCUUUGACAUGGAACUGAUCAUUUGAGGGAUAUCUAAAACAGGUCAUUUAAUCUCACCUUCCUAUCAUCUUUCUUCUGCCUUUUUAUCACCUCUGCUGGCCAUUCAGCAACAAGCUUCUGGAGCUCAUCCGUCACCAAUUGUUUCUUCUCAUCAGAAACCAACCUUGUGAAGUAAUUUAAUCAUGGCAGCGGCGCUUUCUGGUUUGCGCUCAAGCAGAAACCCCUUUACACAUGCAAAACCUGUUGCAAGAUUAUAGCGUUUGACUGACUUGCCUCUCAGGCUAUUGAUGUUCCAUAUAGAUUGGGAUACUUACCAACUUUGGCAGCGAAGUCCAUCCAAAUGUCAAAUGAAGCACCAUGCAGCUUGACUUCAGACUUCACGAAUCUUCUCGCAUAUUUUGAGAGUAAAUCCCAUCUAUCAGCAUUAUAGCAGAUCCUGAAGACUAUAUCAGCAGUGCCUGGUUGCAAUGGCAUCGAAUUUCUCUGAAGGACUUGCAUUAUACUUCCCAUUAGUUUAGUGUCAUUUUUCUCUUUAGCAUUAGAUAAUGAGCAGAACCAAUGGUAGGCGUAAUUCCAUAAACAUUAUGCUUCCAUAAAACCUUCAAACCAUAGUCAAGGGCACCAACACGAGCACAAGCCUCUGCAACUUUCAUGCAAAGAUGAUCGUUGAAGUUUGCGUCGAUGCGAAGAUUUGAUAGAAAAUCCACUUACAAAUACUCUUAGCUUCUGCAAAAUCUGAAUAAGUAGUUUGAUGUCCUCCUUAUUGGAACAGCUACUUAUCAUUGACCACAACCAGGCAUUCGGAGGCAUGGUCUCGGCUUCAACAGAUUUCAACAUUUUCUGAUACAGCUCCUCUGAAUAACCUGUAGGUUGAUCAAUGUCACUUGCUUCUGUUGAGUAGUGAGUUGCAGCCAUGUGAUAGCACACCGAUUUCUCAUUCCGCCAUUGAGAAGAUAUACUUGGCGAUAGCAAGCGAGACGAGGACGUGGCGGAGAAGCUCCUAGCCAGGAGCGGAGGGGCCGGUGACGGCGACGGCGAGGACGGGACACCAUCGAGACGGGGAAGAAGGGCGCCGCUCCCGGCGAGCGCCGCGCACCCGGGGCGCGGCGCGGAGAGGAUACCGGAGGCCGCCGGCGACGUGAGGAGGCGGCGCGCGCGCCCGGCGGCGGCCUGCAUCGCUGCUGCUGCUUCUCCUUGCGGCGGCCGGAGGGGGAGACGGAGUGAGCCUUCUGACGAGAAAGGGAAGCGAACCGAGUUGAGCUGAGAUUUUUGGCUCGUUAGAGCGUCU